rnacentral:rRNA from 1 species
UACGUAGGGUGCGAGCGUUAAUCGGAAUUACUGGGCGUAAAGAGUGCGUAGGCGGAGAUACAAGUUAGAUGUGAAAUCCCCGGGCUUAACCUGGGAAUGGCAUUUAAGACUGUAUGUCUAGAGUUAGUAAGAGGAUGGGAGAAUUCCGAGUGUAGCAGUGAAAUGCGUAGAGAUUCGGAGGAAUAUCGGUGGCGAAGGCGCCCAUCUGGGAUAUAACUGACGCUGAGGUACGAAAGCGUGGGGAGCAAACAGG